rnacentral:rRNA from 1 species
GGCACCUGAUCUGUCAAUGCGCGUGAGUGAUGAAGGCCUUAGGGUUGUAAAGCUCUUUUACCGGCGGACGAUGAUGACGGUACCCCGGAGAAUAAGCCCCGGCUAACUUCGUGCCAGCAGCCGCGGUAAUACGAAGGGGGCGAGCGUUGUUCGGAGUUACUGGGCGUAAAGGGCGCGUAUGCGGCGCUCCAAGUUAGGCGUGAAAGCCCCGGGCUCAAACUGGGAAUUGCGCUUAAGACUGGAGUGCUCGAGUGCGGAAGAGGUGAGUGGAAUUCCCAGUGUAGAGGUGAAAUUCGUAGAUAUAGGGAAGAACACCAGUGGCGAAGGCGGAUCACUGGCCCGCAAUUGACGCUGAGGCGCGAAAGCGUGGGGAGCAAACAGGAUUAGAUACCCUGGUAGUACACGCCGUAAACGAUGAGUGCUAGACGUAGGGGGACUCAGUCCCUUGGUGUCGCAGCUAACGCAUGAAGCACUCCGACUGUGGAGUACGGCCGCAA